rnacentral:rRNA from 1 species
UGCAAAGGUAGCAUAAUCAUUUGCUUCUUAAUUAGGAGCUGGAAUGAAAGAGGCGACGAAAUCUAGACUAUUUAAGUUUCAGUAUAAAUUGACAAGUGGGUCAAAAGGCCCGCAUGCACCAGGGGGACGAUAAGACCCUAUAAAACUUUACUUUCAGGUUAGUACUUGGCAGGAAGGGGAGUAUCUGAGAGUUUGACUGGGGCGGUUAUUAUAGAAACAAUUAUACAUAAAAUAUAUUAUAUAGAUUAGUAGAACUCUCUAGAGAAAUAGAACAAGUUACUUUAGGGAUAACAGCGUGAUCCCCCCAGAGAGUCCUGAUUGGCGGGGGGG